rnacentral:rRNA from 1 species
CCUACGGGGGGCAGCAGUGAGGAAUAUUGGUCAAUGGGCGAGAGCCUGAACCAGCCAAGUCGCGUGAGGGAUUACUGCCCUAUGGGUUGUAAACCUCUUUUGUCGGGGAGCAAAAGCCGUACGUGUCCGGCUGUGGUAGUACCCGAAGAAAAAGCAUCGGCUAACUUCGUGCCAGCAGCCGCGGUAAUACGGAGGAUGCGAGCGUUAUCCGGAUUUAUUGGGUUUAAAGGGUGCGCAGGCGGAUUUUUAAGUCAGCGGUAAAAUCGUGGGGCUCAACCCCAUCCAGCCGUUGAAACUGGGGAUCUAGAGUGUGCGGAAGGUAUGCGGAAGGCGUGGUGUAGCGGUGAAAUGCAUAGAUAUCACGAAGAACCCCGAUUGCGAAGGCAGCAUACCGGUGCACAACUGACGCUCAGGCACGAAAGCGUGGGUAUCGAACAGGAUUAGAUACCCCUGUAGUC